GGACUGGGAACUGAAACCCAAGAGCAUUCUACCACUGAGCUACAUCCAUAGCCCUUUUUAUUUUGAGACAGAAUCUCAUUAAGUUGCCCAGGCUAACCUUGAACUUGAGAUUCUCCUGCCUCAGACUCCCAAGUAGCUGGGAUUACGGCUGUGUGCCGUGAAUGCCUAUUCUUUACAGGUAUGUGCCACCAUGUCCAGCUAAAGCUGAGUUUUAUGAGGUUCUGACUGCAGUUUGGCCAAACAGAGCAUCUUUACCGGAACUCGCUGCUGUACCCCAGGUUCCAGGCAGCCCUGGCACAUACUGGCACUCAGUUAAUACUGGAGGAAUUAGCAAGUUACCUGCCAAGGCAUCUCUACAGAAGACACUUGAGCUUGUGACUCUGGCUGUGAUCAGGCCUCAGUCUCUGGACUUUGCCUUCGAGGCCCCUCUGUCUAGCCCAAAUCCUAUGGGGCUGUGGAUCCCUCCCAUUUGGGCCUGACCACUGUUGAGGCAGAACCUGGACUGGCAGAGGCCCAGGCAGAAACCCCAAAAGUUCCCCCACCCUGGGGGCCCUUGGGCCACAGGCUUCCUGAUUGACAGCAGCCAGGCUGGAAUGCACUGCCUGCCCACCGCCCCCUCCUCUUCCCUGGGCUGGAGGGUGACCUGGCACCUCCCUGCCAGCCUCAGUGAGGAGAACGGAAGCCAGGCAGGACAGCACUGGCAGGGGGCAGCACCCAGGGCUGCGGUCACAUUCCGCAGCCCUCACGUCAGCCCAUCUCUGGCUUCCCACCCAUGCAGGGCUAGCAGGAAGGGCACACAGGCAGCUUAUCUGGCCUCUCAGAGCUGGUCUGGCCUGCAGCGCCCUCCAGGCCCACCCUGACUGCCAGCCAAGACCCACUGGGCUGUUGAGAUACAGGCAAUCAGAGAAAAUAAGAUGGACUUCGCCUUUGGGUGGCCAGGUGUGUGUGGGAGGGAGGCUCCAGGAGACAGGGACUCAUCCUGUGGGGCUGGCUUCAGUAGGGGUGUAAGAGCUGGGAAAUGGCCGACCUGUGUCCCAGCCCAAUUUCCCCAGGUAGCUAUGGUUUCCCGUUUUCCUCUUUCUUGGCUUCCUCCCACCCAGGGGAAGGAGGAAGGAGCUGCCCCAUUCUGCCUCUGAACCUGGCCCUGUCCAGCCCUGCCCUCUGCGCAUUCCAACCUGAUCCUGCUCCAGGGCCUGGCCCGUGUCCCAACAACCCCUGGGCAGUGUCCAGGCUUGGCCUGGUGCCCUUGUGGUCAUCCCAUGCAGUCAGGGAAACUGAGGCAUGGGGAGUUUUGUCUUCAGUAGCUCAGUGUCUUGCCUUGUGGUACUGGGGAAUCAAACCUGGACCUCAUGCAUGCUGGGCAGAUGUUCUGCCACCAAGCUAUCCCCCACAGCCUUAUUUUACUUUUGAGACAGGGUCUGUCCCAGCUGGCCUUGAACUUGCCAUCCUCCUAUCUCUGCCUCCAGAGGGGCUAGGAUGACAGGUGUACCACAGGCGUGGCACCUAGUGACUGUCAGGCAGCAGGUCUAUGUGGGUGGGUUUCUUCCCCAGAAUGAGGAGGCCAGUAAUCUCUGGGCUUCCUCUUGCACCGUUUGAGGCAGCCCUCCUACUAGGGCUCAGGCUCAGGCUGGAGGUCACCGCUCUUCCCAGGUGUGGAAGACAUGGCCUUGGAGGUGGGACCUGCAGAUCCACGGGAGCCAAGGACAGUGGGGGUGCUCCGGAUGGGAAGAUGGGGCAACAAGACCUAGUGAUCCCCAUGAAAUGCUCACCAAACUGAUGGGCUCAGUGGCCCCUAAGCCCCCAGGUCUCUGGGAGGAGAAGUUAUCCCUUGGGGCCCCUUUUUCCACCUCCAUGCCAUGUGGCUUCCAGCUGGACAUACGCCAUUGUACUUGGGCAGCGUCUGAAGUCCUAGCCCUGGGACCUUAGAACGAGGCUGUGUUUGAGGUGGGCCUCCUAGGAGGGUGUUAAGGUAUGG
rnacentral:lncRNA from 1 species